UACGUAGGGCGCAAGCGUUGUCCGGAAUUAUUGGGCGUAAAGAGCUCGUAGGCGGUUUGUCGCGUCUGCUGUGAAAACCUAAGGCUCAACCUUGGGCUUGCAGUGGAUACGGGCAGACUAGAGGUAGGUAGGGGAGAAUGGAAUUCCCGGUGUAGCGGUGAAAUGCGCAGAUAUCGGGAGGAACACCGGUGGCGAAGGCGGUUCUCUGGGCCUUACCUGACGCUGAGGAGCGAAAGCGUGGGGAGCGAACAGG
rnacentral:rRNA from 1 species